AAAUGAUAACAAUCAAGACUGAUAAGGCAAUUUUUCGUUUUCGAAGUUUUUCCAAGUAUAAUUUUCAAAAAUUCAAUCGCGUUUUGAUGGGAUAUUAGAAUCAAAUUUUUUAGUUAAUGCUAAUUUAAACUUGUGAAUCUAUUUUUUGAUUUAUUACAAUGGGAAAACAGAAACCAGCUUCCAAAGGUGAUUCGAGUAAAUCUAAGGCUAAGGAUGACGAUUCUAAAGCGUCUGGAAGUAAAGAAAAGAAAGGAGGUACCGCCGUCAAAGUCCGACACAUCUUAUGUGAAAAACAAUCGAAGGUAUUAGAAGCUUUAGAUAAACUCAAAAAUGGUGGAAAAUUUCCUGAAAUAGCUGCUCAAUAUAGUGAAGAUAAAGCAAGACAAGGAGGAGAUUUGGGUUGGAUGAUACGAGGAAGUAUGGUUGGACCUUUUCAAGAUGCUGCAUUUAGUUUACCCAUAUCUACUGUUGCAAAUCCAGUCUACACAGAUCCUCCCAUCAAAACGAAGUUCGGGUAUCAUAUUAUAAUGGUAGAAGGCAAAAAAUAAAACCCUACUUAUUUCGAUUGUACGUAGGACGUACACAAUUCUCUUUCAAAUUUCAUUUCUAAGAAUAGGUCUAAUUACGUUCAAUUCUUGUUGCAAAAAUCAUCCCAUUGCGGAUGUUUUGGCAGCUUUGAUUUCUCUCUGAAAAAAAUACACGAAGAAAUUGAGCGUAUGACAUUUAUAUUUGAAGAUUAAUGUAAGGCACGGAUCGUCAAUAUCUAAAGUACUACGUAAUUUCACAGCAGAUAAUUCUCUUUCAUUUUUAUUUUAGAGAGAAUGCAUCCUCUCAUGAUAAGUUUAUACUGUAACGUACAGUUGAAAUACAAGCUGCAUGGUGGUAAUUUUUCACGUUGAAAA